rnacentral:rRNA from 1 species
GAUGAACGCUGGCGGCGUGCCUAAUACAUGCAAGUCGAGCGAACAGACGAGGAGCUUGCUCCUCUGACGUUAGCGGCGGACGGGUGAGUAACACGUGGAUAACCUACCUAUAAGACUGGGAUAACUUCGGGAAACCGGAGCUAAUACCGGAUAAUAUAUUGAACCGCAUGGUUCAAUAGUGAAAGACGGUUUUGCUGUCACUUAUAGAGGGAUCCGCGCCGCAUUAGCUAGUUGGUAAGGUAACGGCUUACCAAGGCGACGAUGCGUAGCCGACCUGAGAGGGUGAUCGGCCACACUGGAACUGAGACACGGUCCAGACUCCUACGGGAGGCAGCAGUAGGGAAUCUUCCGCAAUGGGCGAAAGCCUGACGGAGCAACGCCGCGUGAGUGAUGAAGGUCUUCGGAUCGUAAACCUCUGUUAUUCGGGAAGAACAAAUGUGUAAGUAACUAUGCACGUCUUGACGGUACCUAAUCAGAAAGCAACGGCUAACUACGUG